rnacentral:rRNA from 1 species
UACGGAGGGGGCAAGCGUUGUCCGGAAUCAUUGGGCGUAAAGCGCGUGUAGGCGGCUUGAUAAGUCUGCUCUGAAAGCCCGGGGCUCAACCUGGGAGGCGGGUGGAUACUGUCGAGCUCGAGUCCGGAAGAGGCGAGUGGAAUUCCUGGUGUAGCGGUGAAAUGCGCAGAUAUCAGGAGGAACACCAAUGGCGAAGGCAGCUCGCUGGGACGGUACUGACGCUGAGACGCGAAAGCGUGGGGAGCAAACAGG